UACGUAGGGAGCAAGCGUUGUCCGGAAUUACUGGGCGUAAAGGGCGCGUAGGCGGGGUUAUAAGUUAGGUGUGAAAACGUAGGGCUUAACUUUACGAUUGCACUUAAAACUGUAAUUCUUGAGUACAGGAGAGGAAAGUGGAAUUCCUAGUGUAGCGGUGAAAUGCGUAGAUAUUAGGAGGAACACCAGUGGCGAAGGCGACUUUCUGGACUGUAACUGACGCUGAGGCGCGAAAGCGUGGGGAGUGAACGGGAUUAGAUACCCGGUAGUCC
rnacentral:rRNA from 1 species